AAGUGUAAAAAAUAAUCGAUUAAUGUUUUUCUGACGAUUAAUUGCACUCGAUACGAUUAUGCCCAACCCUAUACCGUAGAUUACUUCACAUCACCUAAAAUUUUGUUUUUAUUUAUUUUGAUCAGGCAGCUGGCCCACCUCGAUAACAUUUGUCUGCAAAUUUCAUCUAAAAUAUGCUGAAUUUCGAUCACAGUAUUGGUUCUGUGUGACCUUUUUAAAGGUUUUUUUAUUAGCUGUGCUUUUUAUUAAAAUAAAAAUCCCCUCCUGCAUCCCGACCUGUCUGCAUCUUGCUGUGAUCUUGCGAGACAUGGAGCUGAAAUGAAAAGCAUCACAUCUUCCCUUUUUUAUAUUGAUUGUUUCUUCUGUACUCUGUCUCUGCUGUUUAAUCUCUUGGGCUACAGUGUUUGCUUUACUGUAUACAUAAGACUGCUGUGGGGUUCACUGGGUGCAGUGCAGUGAAGCAGCCAUCUUGGCUUAGUGAGUUCAGUGAGUUCAGUGUUGCUGGAGGCAGGCUGGAUCAGGUGGUAGUGCCAGAUCUCUGAUAUCAAUCACCAGUCGCUGCUGCCGCCACUGUCUGCUGUGUCCCUUUUCCUCUUUUCUCCUCUCGUUCUGUCCUCAUUUGCUGCAAACCUUUUUUUUUUAAACGCUGUCUGUCCAUCACCCAGAAUCCCUCCUUCUAUUUCUCUUGUUUCUCUAAACUUACAUGCACAUACACAGCAGUAGCCGACAGGGAGACAGUGCAGGCUUUGUUAUGAAUGGCAUCCUCUUGCACAUCCGGAGGAAGUGUACUCUCUAGUGUGGCUUUACAAACUGUCUCCAUUGUCCUAAGAAUGACUCACUCUACACUGCAGAUAAUGGCAGUCAGCCAGCCAGCCAGCCAAACAGACAGACAGCACAGCACAGAAGGACCAGUCUGCAGAGUCCACAGACAAACAGCACAGGAACGACUGACGGACAGACAGACAAAUAGUUUGUGACAGAUACAGCCACCACAGAAAAGAGGCAGGAGACUUGUCAGACAGAGCAACUGGAACUGCAACUAGCAGGUGCAGAAACAAAACUGAAAGUGAGCUGUUUAAUUUAAACAGGCGGAGCGUUAAAUUACUCACUUUAACUUGAAAUUGAAACUUCACAGGGAAUAAUCUUGUAUUAAAAUGCUCAGAUUUUGUCUUGUAAAAAAAUGUAAGCUGACACACGGAGUGCCUAUUUUUAGUCAUCAGUGUGGCUGGUGGUUCCUUUAUGUUAUAGAAAGACUGAUAAAAAUGUGAGCUCAUAAAGUAGUUUUAUGAAGCAUAAAUUAGGGCUGCACAAUAUUGAAAAAAAAAAACUGACAUGACAAUGUUUCCCAACCCUGCAAUAUAUAUUAUGAUAUGAAAAAAAUACAUGCUGCCAUCUUGUUGACAAUGAACCUUYAUCGGUCUUACCUCUCUUUUGUUCGUGUCACAAGUAUGUUUUUUAUGUAUUUAAGUAAUUCUUGUAUUUUAUUACUUGCUUUUAUUGUGCUGGGACCUGAACACAUUUCUUUUGAUCAAAUAUGCAUAUGUGAAUUGCGUUUUACUGCUAUCUUGGUUUCUAUUUUCGUCACGCUAUAUUAUUAGCAUUCAUGCUAACCAUAUGUAGCCUCUUUUCCUCCAGUUCUCUGCAGAUUUGUCUAUCUUCAUCGUCUUCUUCCACAGUUCGAGAAUUCACGUCAACACUUCUCUGAAAAACGUUGUUAAUAUUGUCUCAGAUGAUUUAGUGGUUUAUUCCCUAGAUAGCCCGUUGAUUUAAUUCCUCCUACAUAGGAGGACCUGCAAUGUGAAUAUUGCACAGGUGCAUAUUACGAUGAUGAUGCUUAAAGAAUAUAUUUUGAAGCUCUAGUAUAAAACCAAAUGGUGGAGCUUGGCAUUUCAUUUACAAUGUUUUUGUGUUUAUGAACGGYUUGGCUUGAUGCUUAAGGAGUAAUGCUAUGUCGACACCAAAAAUACCUAGCAGAUGUUUCCAAAAUUUGUAGCUAAAUGAUUUUAGGCCUUUUAGAGGGAUGGUAUAAAUAUUUGAAAUGGGUUUUUGUGAAGUUGUAAGUCUUUGUAUCUAAAGCCCCCUAAAUACUGAAUUAUGACAUUGCUAUUGCAGAAAUAAUCAAAAUGGACAGCAUAGCCAAGGUCAAGUUUUUUUUUUUUUUCAAAUUUAAAUUAUUGAUGUUCGACCUGCAUCACUUUUCUCCUUUGAGUGGCUAUGAUAAUCAUAUAGUCUGYUUUACAACAUGUUGCAGUGGGAUGCUGAAGAUUGCAAACAGUAAAUUGUAAUGAUUUUAGCAUUAGUAAAUAUUUAUCUAAUGCCAAAUUGAUGCACAGUAAAUGAUUUCUAAUGGUAUCAUUGUGACACUUUUGAUGUUUGAGUUGUGAAAAUUUAUUCUGUUAGCUCAACUCCCAAUGAGAAAUCUUAUUUCCCCCAAAUGUCUGUCCACUGCAAGUAGGACGCUGACUACACAUAAGUGCUCCACCAAACCGCUGUUUAAAAAGUCUAAACGGUUGUUUUAACUCAUUGAAGACAGGAAGAGUGUUGAGUGAGGGAAGCAGCCUUUUUAAAACCAAUGCAGACAGAUGGGUAUCUGAAUGUACUAAUGUAGUGUGAGGCAGUCUUGAAUAAAUGWAUGAAUGGAUCAAUGAAUGAAGUGCUGCUCGCUGCGUAUGGAGAACUUAGGGCGGGCAAGCAGUAGAGGAUGAAGGGAGUAGAUGUUGAGUAACAGGAUUAGAUUGCAGCUGAGGAUCGUCGGAACGCUGACCUCAAACAUUUGAUCAGAACAAGGAGGGAUGCACUGAUGAGAUUUUUUAUUGUCACCAUUAAACAAAUGUCAUACACUAUACAUUAUCACAUCUCAUGAUGCACAGUGUAACUCUUGUAAAACUCAUUGCAAUGGAAGUAUCAUUCCUUGAAGGAAAGCAAAUCUUCUGCUGCCUUGUUUAAAGAUGUUGUACGUAGGUUUUAGAAAACUGUGGACUUAGAAAAAAGUUUGAAAAGACACAGCUUCCAGGUCCCUCCCCCUUUGCUCUGUUGAGCUACAGCCCUCCCUCCUAAGCUCCUCCCCCACAGCGUGGCCUGUCGUGAACAGGCAAGCUAGUAAACAAGAUGAGUGUGGGCCACAGACGGCAAAUAAACAGCUAUGCUACAGUCACCGGUAAGACUGAAACAUUAACAAUAGAUUUUUAACUAUCUUGGCUUGCCCAUACUUUAACUACCAGAACUUCUCCUCAAAUCUUUACGUAUUUUGCCGUAACAUUACAUGUAAAUUACGUUGCACUCUUUCUAAAAGUUAUAAAUAGCUAACAAAACGGUAGCUACAGCUUAGCAAUAUGUAAUGUUAUAUAAAGUUUAUUAUUUCAGCAACAUGACAAGCCAGUGAAUUAGUGGUUUUCAUCUCUUGUUUUGAACAGUGUGUAACAUUUUAUCUGUACGUUAUGCAGUUAGAGUUUUUGRCACAGUCAAUGGGCUCYGAGGAGGGCAUCCACAGCGAAUUCYAAGAGCCAACGAACGGGGAGAAGAGGAAGCCGUUUGCGUGGAGCAUCAGGCAGGUCAUGUGGGARACGAGGCAGAGAUCACUGAGUGGGUUCAACUCCUGAGAACCUCAGCAGAGAGGACAUGGCAGGGGUCUUGCCUUUGGCCAGGAGGAUCUGGACCUGCGUGCUGUAGUUGACCUUCCAGAUGACGGUGAAGACAACAGGCAAUUCCACACGCAGCAUACAGAGUUUGUGGCUUGGCAGCGUGGGACUCGGGGUCCUGGACUGCUUUCAAGAUCCUCAUGGACAAUACAGGGGAUUUGUUCCCAGGAGGGUAUAGCUGUUGUGUGGUGUUCUUUUAAAAUUUUGAAUACUGUCUCGUCAUGUAUAAAACAUUUUCCUAUUUAAAACAACAUUUCUAUUAGAACAUUUGUAACUAUUUUUCAAUAAAGUGUGAAAUGUUUUUUUU